UACGUAGGUGGCAAGCGUUGUCCGGAAUUAUUGGGCGUAAAGCGCGCGCAGGUGGUUUCUUAAGUCUGAUGUGAAAGCCCACGGCUCAACCGUGGAGGGUCAUUGGAAACUGGGGAACUUGAGUGCAGGAGAGAAGAGUGGAAUUCCACGUGUAGCGGUGAAAUGCGUAGAGAUGUGGAGGAACACCAGUGGCGAAGGCGACUCUUUGGCCUGUAACUGACACUGAGGCGCGAAAGCGUGAGGAGCAAACAGG
rnacentral:rRNA from 1 species